GUGAGACCACGCCCCCCACAGGGGGCGGAUCUAGAGAGAUCCCGACCGGCCCGCGCCCCGAAGGCUGCCCAGGGAAAGAGCAGUGAGCAGGAAUGAGUGGGGCACAUUCCUGAGCUCCUACUUAUUUAAUUCUCAUGGCAGUGCUAUGAAGUACUGGCAUUUCCCCCGCUUUAUAGUAGUGGAAACAGAUUCAGGGUCGCAGAGUUGAGAUAGGAACCAAGGCAGCUUUAGCGACUUUACUGUGCAAUGAUAUCAAUACUAGCUUCUUGAUGAACUCCCUGUGGACCAUCCCUGGGAAGGGGUGAGAAGCAAAUAUUUAUUGAGUCCCAGUGAUGUAUCUGGCGCUGUCCUAGGCACUGAGGAUACAAACGUGAACACGUGCACCCUCUGCCCACCGGGAGGUUACGCUCUGCAGAGGAGACAGAUGGCCUGAGUAUGGCAAACCUUGCUCAGGACCCUGAGAAUGGAGGACUCUGCAGGACGAUGGCGCCCCACCCUCGACCUCAUUUAAAAAAGCAAGGGAGC
rnacentral:lncRNA from 1 species